rnacentral:rRNA from 1 species
GGUUAAGCGACUAAGCGUACACGGUGGAUGCCCUGGCAGUCAGAGGCGAUGAAGGACGUGCUAAUCUGCGAAAAGCGCCGGCGAGGUGAUAUGAACCUUUGACCCGGCGAUGUCCGAAUGGGGAAACCCAGUGCAAUCCGUUGCACUAUCGUUAACUGAAUACAUAGGUUAACGAGGCGAACCGGGGGAACUGAAACAUCUAAGUACCCCGAGGAAAAGAAAUCAACCGAGAUUCCCCCAGUAGCGGCGAGCGAACGGGGAGCAGCCCGGAGUCUGAAUCAGCUUGUGUGUUAGUGGAACGGUCUGGAAAGUCCGACGGUACAGGGUGAUAGUCCCGUACACGAAAGCACACAUGCUGUGAACUCGAAGAGUAGGGCGGGACACGUGGUAUCCUGUCUGAAUAUGGGGGGACCAUCCUCCAAGGCUAAAUACUCCUGACUGACCGAUAGUGAACCAGUACCGUGAGGGAAAGGCGAAAAGAACCCCGGCGAGGGGAGUGAAAAAGAACCUGAAACCGUGUACGUACAAGCAGUGGGAGCCUCUUUAUGGGGUGACUGCGUACCUUUUGUAUAAUGGGUCAGCGACUUAUAUUCUGUAGCAAGGUUAACCGUAUAGGGGAGCCGAAGGGAAACCGAGUCUUAACUGGGCGUUAAGUUGCAGGGUAUAGACCCGAAACCCGGUGAUCUAGCCAUGGGCAGGUUGAAGGUUGGGUAACACUAACUGGAGGACCGAACCGACUAAUGUUGAAAAAUUAGCGGAUGACCUGUGGCUGGGGGUGAAAGGCCAAUCAAACCGGGAGAUAGCUGGUUCUCCCCGAAAGCUAUUUAGGUAGCGCCUCGUGAACUCAUCUUCGGGGGUAGAGCACUGUUUCGGCUAGGGGGCCAUCCCGGCUUACCAACCCGAUGCAAACUACGAAUACCGAAGAAUGUUAUCACGGGAGACACACGGCGGGUGCUAACGUCCGUCGUGAAGAGGGAAACAACCCAGACCGCCAGCUAAGGUCCCAAAGUCAUGGUUAAGUGGGAAACGAUGUGGGAAGGCACAGACAGCCAGGAUGUUGGCUUAGAAGCAGCCAUCAUUUAAAGAAAGCGUAAUAGCUCACUGGUCGAGUCGGCCUGCGCGGAAGAUGUAACGGGGCUAAACCAUGCACCGAAGCUGCGGCAGCGACACUUAUGUGUUGUUGGGUAGGGGAGCGUUCUGUAAGCCGUUGAAGGUGUGCUGUGAGGCAUGCUGGAGGUAUCAGAAGUGCGAAUGCUGACAUAAGUAACGAUAAAGCGGGUGAAAAGCCCGCUCGCCGGAAGACCAAGGGUUCCUGUCCAACGUUAAUCGGGGCAGGGUGAGUCGACCCCUAAGGCGAGGCCGAAAGGCGUAGUCGAUGGGAAACAGGUUAAUAUUCCUGUACUUGGUGUUACUGCGAAGGGGGGACGGAGAAGGCUAUGUCAGCCGGGCGACGGUUGUCCCGGUUUAAGCAUGUAGGCGGAGGUUCCAGGUAAAUCCGGUACCUUGUUAACGCUGAGGUGUGAUGACGAGGCACUACGGUGCUGAAGUGAUAAAUGCCCUGCUUCCAGGAAAAGCCUCUAAGCAUCAGGUAACACGAAAUCGUACCCCAAACCGACACAGGUGGUCAGGUAGAGAAUACCAAGGCGCUUGAGAGAACUCGGGUGAAGGAACUAGGCAAAAUGGUGCCGUAACUUCGGGAGAAGGCACGCUGAUGUGUAGGUGAAGCCCCUGCGGGCGGAGCUGAAAUCAGUCGAAGAUACCAGCUGGCUGCAACUGUUUAUUAAAAACACAGCACUGUGCAAACACGAAAGUGGACGUAUACGGUGUGACGCCUGCCCGGUGCCGGAAGGUUAAUUGAUGGGGUUAGCGGCAACGCGAAGCUCUUGAUCGAAGCCCCGGUAAACGGCGGCCGUAACUAUAACGGUCCUAAGGUAGCGAAAUUCCUUGUCGGGUAAGUUCCGACCUGCACGAAUGGCGUAAUGAUGGCCAGGCUGUCUCCACCCGAGACUCAGUGAAAUUGAACUCGCUGUGAAGAUGCAGUGUACCCGCGGCAAGACGGAAAGACCCCGUGAACCUUUACUAUAGCUUGACACUGAACACUGGUCCUUGAUGUGUAGGAUAGGUGGGAGGCUUUGAAGCGUGGACGCCAGUCUGCGUGGAGCCAACCUUGAAAUACCACCCUUUAAUGGCUGGUGUUCUAACGUAGACCCGUAAUCCGGGUUGCGGACAGUGUCUGGUGGGUAGUUUGACUGGGGCGGUCUCCUCCCAAAGAGUAACGGAGGAGCACGAAGGUUGGCUAAUCCUGGUCGGACAUCAGGAGGUUAGUGCAAUGGCAUAAGCCAGCUUGACUGCGAGCGUGACGGCGCGAGCAGGUGCGAAAGCAGGUCAUAGUGAUCCGGUGGUUCUGAAUGGAAGGGCCAUCGCUCAACGGAUAAAAGGUACUCCGGGGAUAACAGGCUGAUACCGCCCAAGAGUUCAUAUCGACGGCGGUGUUUGGCACCUCGAUGUCGGCUCAUCACAUCCUGGGGCUGAAGUAGGUCCCAAGGGUAUGGCUGUUCGCCAUUUAAAGUGGUACGCGAGCUGGGUUUAGAACGUCGUGAGACAGUUCGGUCCCUAUCUGCCGUGGGCGCUGGAGAAUUGAGGGGGGCUGCUCCUAGUACGAGAGGACCGGAGUGGACGCAUCACUGGUGUUCGGGUUGUCAUGCCAAUGGCACUGCCCGGUAGCUAAAUGCGGAAGAGAUAAGUGCUGAAAGCAUCUAAGCACGAAACUUGCCCCGAGAUGAGUUCUCCCUGAGACUUUAAGUCUCCUGAAGGAACGUUGAAGACGACGACGUUGAUAGGUCGGGUGUGUAAGCGCAGCGAUGCGUUGAGCUAACCGAUACUAAUGAACCGUGAGGCUUAACCUU